AAUACAGGCGUGAGCCACCACGCCUGGCCCACUUUUUAAAAAAUUGAAACCUGUCACCUAAAAGAAGGGAAGGAGAAAGAGUGGAUUUCACACCUAGGGCCUCCAUUUGCUUUAUGAAAACAGCCCCUUGCCAUUUGGGUCGUCAAAAGAUGUCUGAGGGCACUAAUACGCUUAAAGGAUCAGCCAGGAAAUAGGGGCCUCUCAGGUGACAAGGAGGCACAACCCCAACCAACCCCGAUCUGUUCUCAGCUUCACAGGAGGCCCCGUUUUGAGAGGUGCAUGAACGUGUGGCCCACGUUCAACAACACUCAGGAGAGGGGAAAGAAUGUUCAGGACACACUGAAUUUCCAAGACGUACAGAUCUCUCCAAGCAUCCCAAAAGGCGUAUGUUCCUGGUGGGGCCGAGGGCCUGCUCUUGGAGACAGAUGGCGAGCAGCGGUCAGCAGCUACUGAGAGCUCAACUUCCCCUCUAGAGACAGGCUCUGCCCCUCAAGUCCACCUGGGUCUUGGCUCUCUGAAUCCUGUCCGAGGGUGGCGAACUUGAGGCCCUCCUCCCUGCCCCCAGUGUCUCACCUCUGGGCAGUGCUGCCCACCCUCCUUCCUACCUCGAGUGAAGAGACAGGGGCAGGUGGCCAGCCAGGGGGGGUGUUCAGUGACCUCACGGGUCCAGCAUGCACAGGGCCUGGCCCCACAGCCCAGCACCCCUCCCCACCUGGCCUUCACAGUUUCUUCUGCACCUGGUGACAGGUGACAUUCGCCUGCACAACACUCCCGCGAGCCUGGUGACGGACUGGCAGCUCGGUGAAUUCCAGCUGAGUGCCUGUGAUUCCACCCCCUUACCUCCCACUCAAGUGACAAUGUAAGCAUGACCUCGAA